GGCAUGGUGGCCAAGUGGUAAGGCAUUGGUCUUGUAAACCAAAAAUCAUGGGUUUAAUUCCCAUCCAUGCCU
rnacentral:tRNA from 1 species